UUGAGAUUUUUGCAUACAUCUUAUAAUAUUUUAAAAUUAUCAAUUUUAUUGUGACUUUAUCUCGAAAAAUUACCAAUCUCCUCUUCACUGAAAAAAUGAGCUCAGUUGAAGUAAAGCACGCCGGCGACAACUAUGAUUAUCACUUCAAUAGAAGAUCCUUUCCAAUGAUUUACUUACCAGAGGUACUGUACAAGCGGCAGCUCCCUUUAUGUGAUCCAAUUAAAGCACCCUUCAACAAUGGGAAAACAAAAAAAUAUCAGUGAUACAGUUCACCUUUUCUUAGACAAUCACAAUUGUUUUGUUUCUUUUGUUGAUUCUGAAGCGAGUUGUGAAUGCUCUCUAAUAUGACUACAAGUGAGAGGAAGCGGUUUUUGGCAUGUCGAAAACCAGUAAAAGUUGGGAAUAUAGCUACCUCGCCAUCAGGAGAGUAGCAAGUAGCAGUAACCAUUUCAUGAAGAUCUGUCCAGUCCACAACUUUCCGAUCAGAUAUAUUCCAAAUUCGAACUUUUCCAUCCAGUGAACCGCUGAUAAAGUGGUCGUCAUCUACUGGAUUGAAGUGUAUGCAGGUCACUGCCACACACAGAUUCAUCAGAUGUAAAAAUAUGUGAUGGUAAAUUUAAAACGGGAAAUGUAACAUGGUAUCUCACCAUAAUCAUUAUGUGCAAACAUUUUUAAGCAGCUCUGAGUCUCGAUAUCCCAUAGCCUGACUGUCUUGUCCAUUGAGGAUGAAAGGAGUUGCUGCAUCAAAAUUUCAUCUAGCAUGUCAUGUCAAGAUUUCACUGGAAUAAUCUUUUUUAUCAGAUAUUUCCUUCUUGUUCAAAAAGUAAUAUUUUAUCUCACUCCAUUUCAUUUUAUAUGAUGUAGUUUGACUGUUGUGUAGUUAUAUAAAUAAAGAAAUAUCUUUGACACAUGUCAGUAGUGUGUAAAUGCACAUCCCUAUGUCUAUAAGAGCAUGUCAUUAAGAAUAAUAUCAAUUCUUAGAGUUAAGUUUAUUGUAAAUAUAGAAAGGUAUGUUCUUUUUGGUACAGAUUAGAAGGAAACGGAGUGGUAAACUGAUACAAGCAUGAAAACUGACCUGAGAACUUGACCAAGACAGGUCCAGGACAUCAUCUUGAUGACCACUGAAAGUGCAUACUGGUUUUUCUGAGAGAGCAAAUACAAUUUCAGUUGCUAGAUACCGACCAUCUGCGGUGAAUCUUAUGGUCCAUAUGGAGCCUUCAUGAGCUUGAAUUUCCUGACACAAUUGCAAAGCUGUGAAUUCUUUGUGAAUCUUUCCUUGCUGCCGCGCUUUAAUCCAUUGGGAGGAAU